GCUGACAGUUGUCAGUGAUCAGCCAGUGUUAAAGGACUCAAGUAUCUGUGCGGCAUCUGAAGGACUGGAAAAGGUGACUCCGAAGAAGGACCGGUUAUGAUUGGAUGAUCAGGACUGUGUUGAGAAGAUGUCACCUGUCAAAGAGCAUGUGUUAAAUGAGGAGCAGAGUUUUUGUGCCCCUGCUGAAGGAGUUAAGGAGGUAUUCACAUGUUUCGGAUGAGCUGUUAUUUCAGUGCAACAGUGAAUGCUCUGAAGUCCAUCUCUGCAUGGCCUGUGAUAUACUUA